rnacentral:rRNA from 1 species
UAGGGAAUCUUCCGCAAUGGGCGAAAGCCUGACGGAGCAACGCCGCGUGAGUGAUGAAGGUCUUCGGAUCGUAAAACUCUGUUAUUAGGGAAGAACAAAUGUGUAAGUAACUAUGCACGUCUUGACGGUACCUAAUCAGAAAGCCACGGCUAACUACGUGCCAGCAGCCGCGGUAAUACGUAGGUGGCAAGCGUUAUCCGGAAUUAUUGGGCGUAAAGCGCGCGUAGGCGGUUUUUUAAGUCUGAUGUGAAAGCCCACGGCUCAACCGUGGAGGGUCAUUUGAAACUGGAAACCUUGAGUGCAGAAGAGGAAAGUGGAAUUCCAUGUGUAGCGGUGAAAUGCGCAGAGAUAUGGAGGAACACCAGUGGCGAAGGCGACUUUCUGGUCUGUAACUGACGCUGAUGUGCGAAAGCGUGGGGAUCAAACAGG